UCAGGGAGACCUGCUGAAGGAUGAAGAGAAAAAAAACUUCAUACUUCAUCUUUUUCAGACAUCCCAAGGUCGAGCGAGAUGAUGUGUUGGCUUUCAAACUAUUGGUUAGGUUUGUUUAAAACCGAAAAAAGAAAGAUAUUUAGCAAUCUUGCCAUCUAUAAACAGAAGCAAGCCUGCUGAACAUCAAGUUCAGUCAGAACCUGGAAAACUGCAUAGCAACAGUCAAAAGUUUACAUUCAGAGUGAGUCAUAUUGAUUCACAUUGAUGGAAGCAGGUAGACACCAAUGUUUAAAAAAAGU
rnacentral:misc_RNA from 1 species